UAUGGCCACAUCACAUUGAAACACCAGUUCUCAUACAAUCACCUAAGUUAAGCAAUGUCGAGCCAGGUCAGUACCUAGAAUGGGUGACCACUUGGGAAUGCCAGGUGCUGUAAG